GACGAACGCUGGCGGCGUGCUUAACACAUGCAAGUCGAACGAAGUGGCGAACGGGUGAGUAAUACGUGGGUACCCUGCCCUCCUUUUUGGGAUAAGCCUUGGAAACGGGGUCUAAUACCGAAUCAAGGGGGAUGGGCUCGCUGCCUAUCAGCUUGUUGGUGGGGUGAUGGCGUACCAAGGCGGUGACGGGUAGCCGGCCUGAAGGGGUGAACGGCAACAGUGGGACGGAGAUAAGGCCCAGAGUACGACGGGGGGGAGCAGUGGGGGAGAUGGCAGAAUGGGCGAAAGACUGAUGCAGCGAGGCCGCGUGGGGGAUGAAGGCUGUCGGGUUGUAAAACUCGGGAGGUAUCGAACCGGUAGGUGGAGAAGAAGCGCCGGCUAACUACGUGCCAGCAGCCGCGGUAAUAC
rnacentral:rRNA from 1 species